GCAGCAUAGGUUGUGCUAAGCUAUUUCAUUUUCAGAAAAACAAAGAAAGCAUGUUAUAUGAUAAACGCUCAUAAAUYCCAGUCAUGAUUAAUGGAAGAGGAGAUAAGUGAUCUGACCCUUGCAGUUAGAUCUGUUUCUGCUGUGAUUUUYUCUGAUGGCCCAUUGUCUCCAGAACCCCUUCGUGUCCCAGUUGCAUGUUACAGUAUAGGCAGAUGGCAGGGGACAAAGUUCCAUCAAGCAGAAAAUGAUACAAGAUCACGUCAUCUUAUCAUCGUGAGCCUCUGUGAGCUGUUUCUGCAGCCCAGCCUUGCUAGCGCAGCUUGAGUGGAUAUCUCAAACUUUCCUUAUUAAAACCCAAACAGAGUCGAAGCCUCACUUGAAUGGAGUCUGUGUUUGCACUGAGAAAGAGUGGAUGUAGCAGACAGAAGAGAGUGAAGCAGAAGUGAGAGAGAAGCCACUACAGAUCAUCUUUCUGGACAGGCUCUGGAUUUUCCUGUGCAGGAAGUCGUAUUACUUUUUGCCUGAGUUUAAGAAAUACGGCGCCUGCACAACACAUCUGCUCAGAGCCACAGAAGGACCCRAUGAGAAAUCAAAUGAAGCUGUCUGCUGAGCCACCUUUUUCCACCCMCUCACAUAUUUCCAGCUUUCAACUGCUGACAAUCUCCUGACUGUUCUUACCCUUAAGUAACUACCUGAAUCCAAGCAAAGUCACUUCACUAUAUACAGGCUUUAGAAGGUAUACGGGUUUAAAACCUCUUAGCUUUUCCAAAUUAAAGGCUAAAUAUUUUGCCUCAAAAUUAAUUCAAAAGUGACAUUUAAAUAGCGAACAUUAAAUUUGAUAUAUUUAUUCAAGAUAGUGUUGAAGAAUGCUGAAAUAAGACUGUUUAUAUAAAUUGGCAAGAUAAUUGUGUUUUUUUCCCCACUUCUUCUGUGAUUAAAUUAAAUAUUGUGGAACAUUUUAUCUUUGUGAUUUYCUCUUCCAAGGARGCGUUGUGCCAGAAAUCAACCUUGUAAACUUUUUAAGUGUUCAAGUGUUUCUUUCUGUGUGGAGUAUACCUCACUUUUCAGCAACCAAGGCAGAAAUUAUCUCUCAAAUGCAUAUUAAUUUGAGCUCAUUAUGUUUGAAAAUGUGUUCUUUUUGUCUCUUAAAUGUUAAAAUAUUAAAUCUAACUAUGUUAUGACUAGUUUAUGGACUUAAUGGUUUGGGGAUAAUGAAGUAGCUGAUGAAAAAGAGAAAAAAAAAAUCAAACGUAAUAUAUAAAUUUAUUAAGAGCUGACCUGCAGGAGAAAGAUCAAAAAAGAAGAGAAAAAAUACAGUCUCAUAUCACUUAUGCUGCCGCUACCCAUGAAAAUCUGUCCUGAUUUUCUAAGACCUUUGAUCUGGGAUUACAUUUGGAAGCUGAGGAGAGAAGUAAGUGAUCGGCCAGGGAGAACUCAUGGUUCAGCCCGAGGUAGUCCGGGCCUCUGAAGUCAAUGCUGCCGCUGAAACUACUGAAAAGAUUAAAAAAAGGUUAAAGUGUAAAAUAUAUUCAGAAAACUGACUUGGAACA